rnacentral:tRNA from 2 species
GGUAUUUUACUUUAUGUAAGAAGAGUUAGUUUGCAUCUAAUCAGAGGUCUAUACCAUUUACCA